rnacentral:rRNA from 1 species
AUUGAACGCUGGCGGCAGGCCUAACACAUGCAAGUCGAACGGUAACAGGAAGCAGCUUGCUGCUUUGCUGACGAGUGGCGGACGGGUGAGUAAUGUCUGGGAAACUGCCCGAUGGAGGGGGACAACUACUGGAAACGGUAGCUAAUACCGCAUAACGUCGCAAGACCAAAGAGGGGGACCUUAGGGCCUCUUGCCAUCGGAUGUGCCCAGAUGGGAUUAGCUAGUAGGUGGGGUAACGGCUCACCUAGGCGACGAUCCCUAGCUGGUCUGAGAGGAUGACCAGCCACACUGGAACUGAGACACGGUCCAGACUCCUACGGGAGGCAGCAGUGGGGAAUAUUGCACAAUGGGCGCAAGCCUGAUGCAGCCAUGCCGCGUGUAUGAAGAAGGCCUUCGGGUUGUAAAGUACUUUCAGCGGGGAGGAAGGGAGUAAAGUUAAUACCUUUGCUCAUUGACGUUACCCGCAGAAGAAGCACCGGCUAACUCCGU